CGACCGCUGGCGGCGUGCUUAACACAUGCAAGUCGAACGGAAAGGCCCCUUUGGGGGUCCUCGAGUGGCGAACGGGUGAGUAACACGUGAGUAACCUGCCCUUGACUUCGGGAUAACUUCAGGAAACUGGGGCUAAUACCGGAUAGGAAUCCUUGCUGCAUGGUGGGGGUUGGAAAGCUUCGGCGGUUUUGGAUGGACUCGCGGCUUAUCAGCUUGUUGGUGGGGUAGUGGCUUACCAAGGCUUUGACGGGUAGCCGGCCUGAGAGGGCGACCGGCCACAUUGGGACUGAGAUACGGCCCAGACUCCUACGGGAGGCAGCAGUGGGGAAUAUUGCACAAUGGGCGGAAGCCUGAUGCAGCAACGCCGCGUGCGGGAUGACGGCCUUCGGGUUGUAAACCGCUUUCAGCAGGGGCGAAGCUUGUGGUGACGGUACCUGCAGAAGAAGCACCGGCUAACUACGUG
rnacentral:rRNA from 1 species